GGUGCUGUUGGAGGAUGACACCUGCGAGUGAUCCAUCGGCAGAGCACCCUGGUGCAAUGCUGACACUCCAGCUGCUGACAACGCACA
rnacentral:snoRNA from 1 species